UUUAAGUGUAACCAUAAGUUUCCACGUACAACUUUUAUCAUCCGUCUUAUUUGAAAAAUUUUUAUAAUUAAUAUUUUUGUUGUUAUGAGAUGAUAAAACAUAAAUAGUACUUUACUCGUGACUUAUAUUUUUAAUUUUUUUAUUUUUUUUAAAUAAGACGAAUGGUUAAAGUUGGACGCGGAAAACCAUGGCUGCACUUAAA
rfam:Oryza rufipogon genomic scaffold, chr01